rnacentral:rRNA from 1 species
UACGGAGGGAGCUAGCGUUGUUCGGAAUUACUGGGCGUAAAGCGCGCGUAGGCGGUUUUUUAAGUCAGAGGUGAAAGCCCAGUGCUCAACACUGGAACUGCCUUUGAAACUGGAAAACUUGAAUCUUGGAGAGGUCAGUGGAAUUCCGAGUGUAGAGGUGAAAUUCGUAGAUAUUCGGAAGAACACCAGUGGCGAAGGCGGCUCACUGGCUCAUACUGGACGCUGAGGUGCGAAAGCGUGGGGAGCAAACAGG